GGGUCAAUGGCCGAGAGGUCUAAGGCGUCCCACUCAAGCUGGGAUCUCUUCGGAGGCGCAGGUUCGAACCCUGCUUGACUCA